UACGAAGUGGGCUCGCGUUGUUCGGAAUUACUGGGCGUAAAGCGCGCGUAGGCGGUUUUGCAAGCCAGAGGUGAAAUGCCUGAGCUUAACUUAGGAAUUGCCUUUGGGACUGCGAGGCUUUGAGGACGAGAGAGGUGAGUGGAAUUCCCAGUGUAGAGGUGAAAUUCGUAGAUAUUGGGAAGAACACCGGUGGCGAAGGCGGCUUCCUGGCCUGCAACUGACGCUGAGACGCGAAAGCGUGGGGAGCGAACUGG
rnacentral:rRNA from 1 species